rnacentral:rRNA from 1 species
UACAGAGGGGGCGAGCGUUGUUCGGAAUUACUGGGCGUAAAGGGCGCGUAGGCGGCCCGCUAAGUCGAACGUGAAAUCCCCAGGCUCAACCUGGGAACUGCGUCCGAUACUGGCAGGCUUGAAUCCGGGAGAGGGAUGUGGAAUUCCGGGUGUAGCGGUGGAAUGCGUAGAGAUCCGGAAGAACACCGGUGGCGAAGGCGGCCUGCUGGGCGAUAGCUGACGCUGAGGCGCGACAGCGUGGGGAGCAAACAGG